rnacentral:piRNA from 1 species
UUCUAGGAGGCUUGCAGGCUGUAUU